UUAACGCUGGCGGCGUGCCUACCACAUGCACGUCGAGCGGCAGCGAGUUUUACACUGAAUUCUGGAAGCUUCUAGUUGAAAGAGAAGAUUUAUUCAAGAAUUUUGUGUAAAAUGUCGGCGAGCGGCGGACGGCUGAGUAACGCGUGGGAACGUACCCCAAAGUGAGGGAUAACGCAUCGAAAGGUGUGCUAAUACCGCAUAUGGUCUUCGGAUUAAAGCCUUCGGGCGCUUUGGGAACGGCCUGCGUAAGAUUAGAUAGUUGGUGGGGUAAUGGCCUACCAAGUCGACGAUCUUUAACUGGUUUGAGAGGAUGAUCAGUCAGACUGGAACUGAGACACGGUCCAGACUCCUACGGGAGGCAGCAGUGAGGAACCUUCCACAAUGGGCGAAAGCCUGAUGGAGCAACGCCGCGUGCAGGAUGAAGGCCUUCGGGUUGUAAACUGCUUUUAUAAGUGAGGAUUAUGACAGUAACUUAUGAAUAAGGAUCGGCUAACUACGUG
rnacentral:rRNA from 1 species